GAUGAACGCUAGCGGGAGGCUUAACACAUGCAAGUCGAGGGGCAUCACGAGGUAGCAAUACUUUGGUGGCGACCGGCGCACGGGUGAGUAACACGUAUGCAACCUUCCCUGUACAGGGGGAUAACCCGGAGAAAUUCGGACUAAUACCCCAUGAUGAUAUUUAUGGGCAUCCAUUGAUAUUUAAAGCUCUGGCGGUACAGGAUGGGCAUGCGCGACAUUAGCUAGUUGGUAAGGUAACGGCUUACCAAGGCCACGAUGUUUAGGGGACCUGAGAGGGUUGUCCCCCACACUGGUACUGAGACACGGACCAGACUCCUACGGGAGGCAGCAGUGAGGAAUAUUGGUCAAUGGGCGCAAGCCUGAACCAGCCAUCCCGCGUGAAGGAAGAAUGCGCUACGCGUUGUAAACUUCUUUUCCAGGGGGAGAAUAAUCCUGUCGUGACAGGACUUGACGGUACUCUGGGAAUAAGCAUCGGCUAACUCCGUG
rnacentral:rRNA from 1 species